ACGCUCUUUACCGGGAGAAAGCGCCUUAGGCAUAGCGUUCAAGCAGUGCAUACAGCGAACACAAUCACGGCUC
rnacentral:tRNA from 1 species